UCCGUGUGACAGACAGUCAGGCAAGGGUUCGCUUUGCUAUACAAUCGGGCAGACCGGCCGCAGCCAGAAUACCCUUCUUUACAGGCACCGAAGAUGGCUCCUAGCGCACAACCGGACGAGAAGCCGAAGGAAGAGCGGAAGGGGAUCAGGGCGAUUUUAUUAGGACCCCCGGGAGCCGGCAAAGGAACCCAGGCUCCCAGGCUGGCAGGGCACUUCUGCGUCUGUCACCUGGCUACAGGGGAUAUGCUGCGGGCCAUGGUGGCCUCGGGAUCCGAGCUGGGCAAGAGGCUAAAGGCAACGAUGGACGCUGGGAAGCUGGUGAGUGAUGAGAUGGUGGUGGAGCUGAUUGAGAAGAACCUGGACACGCCCCCCUGUAAGAAAGGCUUCCUAUUGGACGGGUUCCCUCGCACUGUCAAGCAGGCUGAGAUGCUGGAUGAUCUGAUGGAGAAGAGAUCAGAGAAGCUGGACUCUGUCAUCGAGUUUGCCGUCGAUGAUUCCCUGCUGGUGAGAAGGAUCUGCGGCCGUCUGAUUCACCAGGCCAGCGGGCGCUCAUACCACGAGGAGUUCAACCCUCCCAGACAGGCCAUGAAGGAUGAUGUGACGGGCGAGGCCCUGGUGCGCCGCUCUGAUGACAAUGAGAACACGCUGAAGUCCCGGCUGGGCGCCUACCACAGCCAGACCACGCCGCUGGUGCAGUACUACCAGAAGCGUGGCAUCCACUCCCCCGUGGACGCCUCCCAGCCCCCCGACGUGGUGUACGCCAGCAUCCUCGCUGCCUUCUCCAGAGCCACCAGUAAAGACCUCGUCGCCUUCGUCUAGCACUGUCCCCUCUGCCUGCGCGUCUCCCCGUCUCUCUGCUUCCUUCUGCUGUCGGGGACUGUGUUUCAGAGCAGCCCUUCAAAAUAUACACAUAUAUAUAUAUAUAUAUAUAUAUAUAUUAUAAUAAUAAAAAAAGAAAGAAACUAUAAGCUUGCCCUUCGUUGCUUUCAGUGGAGUGUGGAAUAUUGUAUAAACUGUGUUACUGCCCCAUGGUUACUGGGUAACUGAUCCCAUUGGUUAACCAGUGUUCCUACGAGAUCGCUGCACCUCUCUUUUUCAGCGAGACCCCCUUAAAUUGCUGCAGCUUGGCCUACAUGGGUGCCCUGUGGUGGUGGUGGUGGUGGUGAUGAACUGGGGUUUAACCCACUGGUUUCCAGUCUCCCAGCUUCCACAAACCAGCUUGCCUCAAUGUCACUUGAAGUGAGAGGCUGGCGUCCUUCAAGGAGGAUGUUAAAGAAAUGAUAUUGCUGAUCAAAACCCCGCCUGUGCCAAGUCAUGUGCAGGGAGUGACGUGAAGUGUUUGUGUAAAAGCAGGCUCCUUUCCAAGGCUGAUGUUUAUCACUGAAGUGCAGGGAGUGACUGGGUGCAGAGCAGUGAUCAGUGUUUCCUGUUGGUGUGGCUGCGCUAGUCUGGUGGAACGUGCUGCUGGUUUUAAUAGAGGACUCUGGAUUCUGUUCAGCUGAUAAGACGGGUCAUUAAAUCAGGUCUCACCCAGGGCGUGCUGGCUGUGUGUACCGGUCUGUUGAAAACAUCUGAAACUCCAGGACGACUCCUGAUCUUCUUAUAGACAGGGGCAGUGCUGUCCUUAACCUGUCCUCCUUGUGGAUCCCAACCCUUAGAGAAGCUCCCCGCAGUAAAAGCAUAGCUGUUUGAGUUGCACUGAGACCUCCCGCUUUGGAGCCCGGCCAGUCCCUUUGAAACCACGUCCCAGGGCUCUGGGGGGAGAUGGGGUGGGCUAGGGGGCUAGUUACAGGAGUGCAGCUCCCUUCCAGGACCAGUCCGCUUCAUCAAGACUCCUUUAACACGUGGUGUUUAUUGACUGUGGUUCCUGGAUGUUUCACACUCUGUGUCUGUGUCUACAUGUGGGGUGAUUGAAUGAAUGAACAGACAGCGCUGCAUAUGAAACGGCCUCCUUGGUCAGGCUCUUGGGGUGGGUUGGAGUUUGUUCAUGUGUUUAAAGGACCCUGCUGCAUUGUUUAAAUCAAUGUGCUGCGAUAAUAAAGCGUUUCAAAAAGGCA